rnacentral:rRNA from 1 species
AGAGUUUGAUCCUGGCUCAGAUUGAACGCUGGCGGCGUGCCUAACACAUGCAAGUCGAGCGGUAACAGGUGUAGCAAUACAUGCUGACGAGCGGCGAACGGGUGAGUAAUGCUUUGGAAUCUUCCCAGUAGUGGGGAAUAACCAGUCGAAAGAUUGGCUAAUACCGCAUACGUCUGUAAAGGGAAAGCGGGGGCUCGUAAGAACCUCGCGCUAUUGGAUGAGCCAAAGUCGGAUUAGCUAGUUGGUGGGGCAAUGGCCUACCAAGGCGACAAUCCGUAGCUGGUCUGAGAGGACGACCAGCCACACCGGAACUGAGACACGGUCCGGACUCCUACGGGAGGCAGCAGUGGGGAAUAUUGGACAAUGGGGGAAACCCUGAUCCAGCGACGCCGCGUGUGUGAAGAAGGCCUGCGGGUUGUAAAGCACUUUUAGUGGGGAC